CCCCCCCCUCCCCAAAUGCUGUUUGCUAAUCCAAUGAAGGAGAAAGGGAGGAGGGGAGGACAGAGUCUUUGUCAUUAUCCAAGCAAUUAAGAUAAUUAAAAAAGAAAGCUUAUUGGGUAAACAUGCUCUUAAAUUGUGACCUCUUAAUUAAUGGACUACAGGGAGAAAUUACAGCAGUGGCAAGAUAAUUAACACAUGCAUUUAAAAGGAACUGUAAAACAAGGGCAUUCCGGGAUAGUAAAGAGAGACUGAAUCACUGGAAGGCCAAGGGGGUGAACCAACAGAGUCAAACAGGAGGAGGAUGAGAUUUGUCUUCGCAUGUCUCUGCACACCCAAGGAAUCCAAAUCUGAUUUCAGGGAACUUUGUCAGCGUGGGAAGGGAAUCCUCUCCCCCUUCUUCCUGCAUAAUUCAUUUCAAAAGUUGGUCCAUGGAGACAAGUAGAGACGGGCAAAAUCUGCCAGUUUUGGCUUCUUUCGGUUUUCUGGUUGCAAGUUCACCUCUGGAAAAUCUGUCAGCAUUUUCGUGCAUAUCGCACAUUUUUGUGUGUGUAUGCAGUUUUCCCUAACAUAAUGCAUUUUUAUAUGAUAUCUUUGCUUAGAUAGAUAGAUAGAUGCACACUUUACACAGUGAACACGUUAUUUGUUUAGAGAACUGCAUUGCAAAAUUUUGAGGAGUGUGAAUUCCAAAGGGCGAUUGUGCUUCAGUUCACAUACUGUUUUGGAAAGUGUGAAUCAGCUCAAAUCGCUUUUAAGUGUGAACCAAAUCAUAUCUGUUCUCUAUUCCCGGGAGGGAGAAAGUAGUUUGUGUCGAUGUCCUUUGACGCUUUGUUUCUCAGCAGCAUCGCAUUUUCCUAGCCAACCUCUGUAAAAGACUCAUGUGGAAUCUUGAUUAUUAUGGCUUAAAUCAGUGUUUCUCAACCUUUUUCUGACCAUGGCCCCCUUCCAACUUUGUUUCCUUCUUGUGGCCCCACCUGCCCUACCAGUAGAAAUGUAGCUAUUUAAAUUGCUUGCAGAUAGGACAUGUUUUAUUUAUUUUUUAUUUAUAAUUUUUUAUUUAUAUUUUUUUAUAAAUCCACUCAGAGGCACGGUCACUUCUCUGUUCACUCUACUAUUCUGUUUUCUAUUUUCUUCACUUCUCUGUUUUCUUUCUUCUUUUCUGUUUUCUUUUCUUGGUCACUUCUCUGUUUUCGUCAUUUCUCACUUCCUUCUGUGGCCCCCAAAUUUUGUGUCAUGGCCCCUCAUUUAUACGAUUUUCACCUGUGGCCCCCUUGGAAUAUCCUGGGGCCAUAUGGCCCCCAGUUGAAAAACACUGGCUUAAAUGACUUGGCUUUCAUUUUGUGCUUUCCUAUAUUUUCCUAUAUUUUUUGUAAAUCACUCUGGACUUUAUUUUAUCUGCUAGUAAGUGGUCUAAAACAGAAAUAAUAAAUUAAAUGUGGAAGAAGAAAACAGUUCUGAAGUUAAACUUCAUGUUGUGAAUUCACUUGCAGGUAUAUAGGAUUUCGAUGUUUGUUUGUUUUCCACUUCUAGUUAUAGUAGUUAAUAAGUUCUAAGGAAAACUAUAUCAGCAAGAAUGUUUAGUUUUAAGAGCAAUCCUUGAAAUUGGAAUAUAGGCAUUUGGGGGGGAAAAUGAUACACAUUCUGUUUUUGGGGUGUUUUGCCGCAAAACCUUGAUGCAACUUGGGGUAUGUGUCUUAAGGCUGAUGUUUCUAGCUAAAGUAAAUAUUUAAGUCUCCUUCUAACUUUUUGUCGGUGUGUUUUGGUUUUGGUUUUAUGAUCUAUUAGCUGCUUUGAGAGCCUACACUAAAGAACAGCAUGCAAAUUCAAUAUUGUUAUUAUUUGUCAGGUGCAUCCAUAGCUCAGUGGCAGAACACGUUUGCAUGCAGGUUCAAUCCCCGGGGUGUUGUGAGAAUAAAAUGUGGGGAAGAAGAACCAUGUAUAUUAUCUUGAGCUUCAUGGUGAAAAGUGUACAAUAAAUGUGGUUAAUAAAAAAUAAAUAUGCUCCGUGAGUCAAUCAAUCAGGCUCUACCGGGAGGCAAAUGGUACACUUGAGCUCUUACCCAACUGCUGAUUGCCAUCUUUCCCUUACCAGUAGGCAAUGAUUUCUGCUCUUGCUUGUGUUUUUGGCAAGCAGCACUGUUUCCGUACUGCUGCAUUUCGGCCUCCAAUAAAAACGUUAUUAUUUGUGCAACUGUGGUGGGAUUUUACACAAUUGAUUACAUUAUGCCACACCAUUUAUUUCAAUGCAAAGGAUACACAAUGCAAACAAGGUGGGGUGGGAAGCCUGUCAUCAAUUAUGUUUUGUUUGCAAGACUAAAAACUACAGCAAAAACUGGUUUAUUUUCAUUAUGGACAAGGGACACAUGAAACACGCUGGCAAUUUCCACUACCAUUUCCUGAUCUGCCAAAACUUUGGUUCUUUAGCUCCACUCCCUGGAUCUCAAGAUUUCAGCAUCAGGACACCUAGAUGGGCUUUGAAUAAAGACUGCUGGCUGAACUUUGAGGUGGCCAGCUAGCCAUGAAUUAGAUUGGGGUAACUGGUUUUUUUUUUUUUAAAAAAAAGACCUGUGUGGGAUUGGGAAAUCAGACCAUGUGCCUGUGUCACUUUUGCAUUAGUUCACCAUAAAUCUCUUCAAUCCUGUUUCUGUAUGAACGUGCAAAAUGAAUAAAAUUUGCAAACACAAACGGUACACUUCUAGAAACAUACUUCAAAACGUUCUUUUCUCUGAGAAUGUGUAUUUCUAUGUGCAUUUUCUCUCAAAUAUAUGCCCUUUUAAAAUUGCCAUUUAAUGCCUUUUGAGCAAAGAGCUACUUUGGAACAUUUGGAAAGUGCAGAAGCCCAUGGAUAACUUAAGUUCCGAUCCACACAUCCAUUCAAGAGGUGCAAAUAAGGUUAGUUCAUCUCAUAAUUUGCAAAGAUCAGCUCUCCAAUUCUGUUAGGUAACUAUUACUGGGCUCCAGAGAACCAAUGCGUUUCAGAUUCUGUCUGCAUUACACCAGUUCUGCACUGCCACCAGCACUUAGCCCACUAUAUUUAUGUCAAAAAUUCACACCCCUAGCCAUAUGCCACUGUCUCCAAUACCUUACGGGGAAAGUAGGAUCCAUUUCCCCCAACUAUUGCACCAUGUUUCUCAAAACAGACUCCUUGCUUAGAGUAGACCAGGGAUGCUCAAGGUUCUUCCAGAUGUUGGAUCGCCCUGUGUUCUGCAUCAGGAAUGAGCAGCCUGUCCUUCCAGGUGUUGCUGGACUACAACUCCCAUCAACCCUUGAGACCAUGGGGCAUGCUGGCUGAUGCUGAUGAGAGCUGGUGUCCAAUAAUACUUGGAGGGCCACAGUUUUCCCCUCCUUGUUGUCCACGCUUAUCCUGGAGCGGGUAGAUGGAAAUGUACUCAAUGGCUUUGUGCAUUGUUCAUCAGUGACCCAAAUAUCCCUCUCUUUCUCGUUUUAUUUUUUUUAACUAAUUGAGUACAUUAAAUAAUACAUCCCCGAGAAGACUGCCUAAUUCAAGACACUUUUCAAAGCUUCUUUAAUAAUAAUAAAAAAAAUCUAUUUGGGAUUUCAACCAUAAUGGCUAUCCUUACUUGCCAAAACAUGACUUCCUAGCAGGUGACUUUCAUCAAGUACAUCUGAAAUAGUACCUAAAUGAAUUAGCAAUAAAAUGGACUUAGGCCCACCAGUGGGAGCCUCCAUUAAUCUUGGUUUAAUCACUAAAGAGAUGCCAUUCACUUUUCUUAAGAAGUCACAUUUUUCUCCCCUUGCUGGCGAACAGAUUUCAUAAAGUAACAUAUUUCUAAUGAAAUGACUCUGCUUGAAUUAAAAAACCCCGAAGGUUUAUGCAGAUUUCAGUUUUGAUUACUGCUGGCAUGGGCUCUUAGCUGACUCCGGAAGGUAGGUCCGUACUGAAAGGGUCCCAGCAUGGAGUUUAUAAUAUUCUUUGAAAUAAAAUACUGCGCUUGUACUUAGUGGCUUUAAUCAGCUCUGACUUUUGAUAACCCAACAAUAGCUAAUUAGAAUAACACCUGCCUUCUGAGUCAUGUCAUGUAGGUUACUGCCAACAAGGAACCUUGUAUCUUAGCUGCAUGAUUAUUAUAGAGUUGAAAAUCUAUCUGUAGAAAACACUAGAACUGACACUCUGCAAGUCUGGUAGCCAUUAGGCAGAGCUUUUUUCCUCCUCCUUCCCCUGAUACAUUUUGCGUGCGUCGUUCCCCCCCCGCCCACCCGCCACACACACGCACCAGUGCACAGCUCCUCACUGGCAUAUGCAAAGGGGGAAAUGUUUGCCGCUGAAGCAAGGAUGCAGCACCCCAUGGCAAACCUACGUUUUAUUUUGUCAUCCCAUCCAUUGCAUAUUGACAUUGGAGAUAUUGCAGCGAUUGGGUGGGGUGUUGGUGGAUGUACAAUGGGAUGAGUGAUUUUGGAUGUUUAGUGGAGGCUACUUAAUUUGGGUUUCUGGAGCAGGGAAAUUCUGAGUAGGUGUAAAAUAUGUCCUUUAGGGGUAUGUUAUUGCUUUAUUUGGCAUUUUAGGUUUCAUUGUUCAUUGUGAGAUAUAGCUAUAGCUAUAUAGAUAAAUACAGAUAAAGCUACAGAUACAGAUAUAGAUACUGUUUAGACUCCCCUGGUAUAAAUAUAUGAAACAAUAUUGUAUCUAUCCGUUUCUCUGAAUGGCAUGCACGAUCCUAAGCCAAGUUGAGAUACACAACCAAUUAGCAAAUUAUUUUGGCUUUCCUGUUUUCCAUUUCUGGGGUGCCAUGUAGCUGCAGAAUUGAAUUUUGCAUGUUUUUAAAUUUAUAAUGAUGGUGGUGGUGGUGAUGACGAUGAUAAUAAUAAUAAUAAUAAUGCAAUUUUAAUGUAAACUUUUGAGGGGUUUUCAGGCUUUAUUUAAAAUAAGACUUGGUGCCCAAGUGUCAUGUUCUGAAUGUUAAGUAAACCAACCCACAACGUUUUCAGUCUUUCUAGAAAAAGAACCCUUCUUCACCCGUCCUUUUUUCUCAAUUGAAAUAUAUUAGCCAAUGAGUUCCACUGUCAAAACCUGCCAAUUCCAGAAGUAAUAAAUUAUUGUCUCAUUGAGGACCUUCUUUUGCUCGUUAAUUUUGCUCACAAACAAGCUCGCCCUCCCUCUCCCCCCCCCCAAUGAAGCCACUCAACC